rnacentral:rRNA from 1 species
CGAUGAAGAACGCUGCGAACUGCGAUACGUAAUGCGAAUUGCAGAAUUCAGUGAGUCAUCAAAAUUUUGAACGCAUAUUGCACUUCCGGGUUAGUCCUGGGAGUAUGUUUGUAUCAGUGUCCGUGAACACAAACUUGUUUCAUUUCUUGAUGGAAUGAAGCAGACUGUGAAGGUCUUGUGAAUACAAGUCCUUCUAAACGAUGGUACCUAUGCGUCCUCGUGAGAUGUAUUAUUUAAAGGUAUGCCUGCGCUCCUUUCGAGAGUCUUGUGUGGCGACACACAGGUUCAAAGAGAGAGCAAAUCGCGGUAGUUUUGCUUGUACUUCGGUAUGAGUGGGCAUAUAUUGCUUUUUGUGAUUUCAGCGAGUCUGUUGUUUAAGCACAGGGCGCGUAAGGGGAGUAGGUAUGCUGGUGCAUUUCUUGGCGUAUGGAGGCAAAUUGGGAAUUCAAUCCAAUUUGGACCUGAUAUCAAACAAGACUACCCGCUGAACUUAAGCAUAUCAAUAAGCGGAGGAAAGUC